rnacentral:rRNA from 1 species
AGCAGCCGCGGUAAUUCCAGCUCCAAUAGCGUAUAUUAAAGUUGUUGCAGUUAAAAAGCUCGUAGUUGAAUUUCGGGGUCAGUAGGUUGGUCGUGCCACCGGUACGUACUGGUCUCACUGAUUCCUCCUUCCUGAUGAGCUGUAAUGCCAUUAAUUUGGUGUUGCAGGGAAUCUGGACUGUUACUUUGAAAAAAUUAGAGUGUUUAAAGCAGGCUAACGCUUGAAUACAUUAGCAUGGAAUAAUGAAAUAGGACGUUCGAUCCUAUUUUGUUGGUUUCUAGGAUUGACGUAAUGAUUAAUAGGGAUAGUUGGGGGCAUUAGUAUUCAAUUGUCAGAGGUGAAAUUCUUGGAUUUAUUGAAGACUAACUACUGCGAAAGCAUUUGCCAAGGAUGUUUUCAUUAAUCAAGAACGAAAGUUAGGGGAUCGAAGACGAUCAGAUACCGUCGUAGUCUUAACCAUUAAACUAUGCCGACUAGGGAUCGGAUGAUGUUAAUUUUUAAUGACUCAUUCGGCG